rnacentral:rRNA from 1 species
CUACGGGUCGCACCAGUGGGGAAUUUUGGACAAUGGAGGAAACUCUGAUCCAGGGAUACCGCGUGGGUGAUGAAGAUUUACGGAUUGUAAAGCCCUUUUAGUAGGGAAAAUAAUGAUGGUACCUACAGAAAAAGCAUCAGCUAACUCUGUGCCAGCAGCUGCGGUAAUACAGAGGAUGCGAGUGUUAUUCGGAAUCACUGGGCGUAAAGGGCGCGUAGGCGGUUAUUUAAGUCCGCAAUGAAAUACCGGGGCUCAACUUCGGUGCUGUUGUGGAUACUGUUUAACUAGAGAACGGAAGAGGUGAAUAGAAUUCCUGGUGGAGAGGUGAAAUUCUUAGAUAUCAGGAGGAAUGCCAGAGGCGAAAGCGGUUCACUGGGACGUUUCUGACGCUGAGGCGCGAAAGCGUGGGGAUCAAACAGGAUUAGAUACCCUCGUAGUC